rnacentral:rRNA from 1 species
AGGAUGAACGCUAGCGGCAGGCCUAACACAUGCAAGUCGAGGGGUAACGAUUUCGAGCAAUCGAAAGGCGACGACCGGCGCACGGGUGAGUAACGCGUAUGCAACCUGCCUCUAACUGGAGAAUAGGUCCCGGAAACGGGAAUUAAUACUCCAUAACAUUGCGAGACCGCAUGGUUUUGCAAUUAAAGCUCCGGCGGUUAGAGAUGGGCAUGCGUGACAUUGGUUUGUUGGUGAGGUAACGGCUCACCAAGACUAUGAUGUCUAGGGGGUCUGAGAGGAUGGUCCCCCACACUGGUACUGAGACACGGACCAGACUCCUACGGGAGGCAGCAGUGAGGAAUAUUGGGCAGUGGACGCAAGUCUGACCCAGCCAUGCCGCGUGCAGGAUGACGGCCCUAUGGGUUGUAAACUGCUUUUAUUUGGGAAGAACUCCCCGGACGUGUCCGGGGCUGACGGUACCAAAAGAAUAAGCAUCGGCUAACUCCGUGCCAGCAGCCGCGGUAAUACGGAGGAUGCAAGCGUUAUCCGGAUUUAUUGGGUUUAAAGGGUGCGUAGGCGGGAAAUUAAGUCAGUGG